AGGGAGGGCCCAAGUUGGCCCAGGCCUGUUUCAAAAGUAACACGUUCCCCAGCCUUGAGACAAGGCGGGUGUCGAAGUGAGCGGCUGAGGCCCUGAAAGCCAGGUGCUCUUCGCGCCUGUCCUUGAGCGUGAGGCGAGCGGGGGAAAGGCGGCCUGCUUCGUCUCCGGCUUCUCGGCAGAGGAGACCAGGCCCAAGCAGGCCGCCUCGCCUGGGCCGGGCAGGCCUGUCAGCCCGAGGCCGGAGUAGGCCGAGCCGAGCGGAGGGAAAGAAGGAGGGAGUGCGGGAGAGGGGAGGCGGCGCCCUGAGAGGAGGCAGCGGCGGUGUCAAGUACGAAGCGCAGCGCUACGUGCCGAGUGACGCGGCCCGCCUGCCACGACUCGGGAGGAGAGCUGCGCGGAGGCCCCGCCGCCUGGGCCUGCUCGGCAGCCGGGCUCACAAGGCUAAAAGAAAUAGAAGGAAAAAAGAACAAAAGAAAAACUUAAGUACACUGAAAUAUUUUGUGUAUUGCAUGCUUUUGCAGUGUCAAAAACAAAACUAAUGACAGAUAUUUCUAGAAUUUGCCUGUAAUUUCUUCUUCUACUUUUUAAAAACCAAGUCUACUUCACAAAUGUAUUUAAAAUGUCAAUAACUGCUUAUAUCAUGCUUUCAUUAGGCAUUUUGUUUUGUUCCUCCUUUUUGUUUCCAAAUAACUAGAUUUAAUUACCCUUCAGCUGUACAAGAUAAUUUUCACUUAGAUCUUAACUGUAAGUCCUUCAAAAGUUUAUGAUGAAUAUUGCCAAACUUAGUCAAAGCUUUUUGUUUAUGAUACAAAGUCACACAUGUAUUAAAAUUAUGGUGUCUUUUUCAAUUAUUCUACUGAGAUGAGUUUCAUCUUGGAUUCUAUUAUUUUAUGCCAUAUUUGUUAAAUAAACACAAUUUAGUCAUU